AGAGUUUGAUCCUGGCUCAGGAUAAACGCUGGCGGCGUGCCUAAUACAUGCAAGUCGAACGCCGGACACCUAGCUUGCUAGGGAGAAGGAGUGGCGAACGGGUGAGUAAUACAUAAGCAAUCUGCCCACAAAGACUGGGAUAACCUCUGGAAACGGGGACUAAUACCGGAUAGGUAGAAGAGAGGCAUCUUUCUUCUAUUAAAGAUGAGAAGCACUAGUGGAUGAGCUUAUGGCGCAUUAGUUAGUUGGUGAGGUAACGGCCCACCAAGACGAUGAUGCGUAGCCGGCCUGAGAGGGUGAACGGCCACAUUGGGACUGAGACACGGCCCAGACUCCUACGGGAGGCAGCAGUAGGGAAUUUUCGGCAAUGGGGGAAACCCUGACCGAGCAACGCCGCGUGAGUGAUGACGGCCUUCGGGUUGUAAAGCUCUGUUGUAAGGGAAGAACGGUAGAUAGAGAAUAUCUAAGUGACGGUACCUUACCAGAAAGCCACGGCUAACUACGUGCCAGCAGCCGCGGUAAUACGUAGGUGGCGAGCGUUAUCCGGAAUUAUUGGGCGUAAAGGGUGCGUAGGCGGCCUGUUAAGUAAGUGGUUAAAUUGUUGGGCUCAACCCAAUCCAGCCACUUAAACUGGCAGGCUAGAGUAUUGGAGAGGCAAGUGGAAUUCCAUGUGUAGCGGUAAAAUGCGUAGAUAUAUGGAGGAACACCAGUGGCGAAGGCGGCUUGCUAGCCAAAGACUGACGCUCAUGCACGAAAGCGUGGGGAGCAAAUAGGAUUAGAUACCCUAGUAGUCCACGCCGUAAACGAUGAAUACUAAGUAUUGGGGAAACUCAGUGCUGCAGCUAACGCAAUAAGUAUUCCGCCUGUGGAGUAUGCACGCAAGUGUGAAACAUAAAGGAAUUGACGGGGGCCCGCACAAGCGGUGGAGUAUGUGGUUUAAUUCGACGCAACGCGAAGAACCUUACCAGGUCUUGACAUUGAUGGACAGAACUAGAGAUAGUUCCUCUUCUUCGGAAGCCAGAAAACAGGUGGUGCACGGUUGUCGUCAGCUCGUGUCGUGAGAUGUUGGGUUAAGUCCCGCAACGAGCGCAA
rnacentral:rRNA from 1 species